ensembl:lncRNA
AAGGAUUCCACGCCUUUGCCAACAAGCACUGUAGCAAAUUGGAAUUUCUCUCAUUAAUUUCAAUGGCUUUGUUUCAAGUCAUUAGUGAUGAGAGGACUUACCGUAUCUUCAAUUAAGACACACGUCACUUCAGACAUUGCGAUCUGGAUAAUGAAAGCCACCACAACAUGUUUCUCUGGAAACUGCAAUGCACAUGUGAUUUGAGUAUCUCCUGAUUGGCCCUAAAGAAGCAACAACAACAGUCAAUGAUUUACUUGUACUUCUGUCACAGAGUCCUCUGAUGCUUUAAGUGAGCUGGGGCAAAGCUCACACACGGGAAAGGAUACAUGCACAUUCAUGAGCAUCACAAAC